rnacentral:rRNA from 1 species
AGUGUGAGGUAGGCGGAAUGCGUUGUGUAGCGGUGAAAUGCAUAGAUAUGACGCAGAACUCCGAUUGCGAAGGCAGCUUACCAACACUUUACGGACGCUGAGGCACGAAAGCGUGGGUAUCGAACAGGAUUAGAUACCCUGGUAGUCCACGCAGUAAACGAUGAAUACUAAUUGUUCGGGGGGCAACCCCUGAGUGAUACAGCGAAAGCGUUAAGUAUUCCACCUGGGGAGUACGCCGGCAACGGUGAAACUCAAAGGAAUUGACGGGGGCCCGCACAAGCGGAGGAACAUGUGGUUUAAUUCGAUGAUACGCGAGGAACCUUACCCGGGCUCAAACGUUGGGGGAAUGCUCCUGAAAGGGAGCAGCCAGCAAUGGUCGCCAACGAGGUGCUGCAUGGUUGUCGUCAGCUCGUGCCGUGAGGUGUCGGCUUAAGUGCCAUAACGAGCGCAACCCCUGCGUCCAGUUACCAUCAAGUCAUGUUGGGGACUCUGGACGGACUGCCGGCGCAAGCCGUGAGGAAGGCGGGGAUGACGUCAAAUCAGCACGGCCCUUACGUCCGGGGCAACACACGUGUUACAAUGGCGUGGAACAGCGGGAAGCCACCUGGCGACAGGGAGCGGACCCCUAAAACACGUCUCAGUUCGGAUUGGAGUCUGCAACUCGACUCCAUGAAGCUGGAUUCGCUAGUAAUCGCGCAUCAGCCAUGGCGCGGUGAAUACGUUCCCGGGCCUUGUACACACCGCCCGUCAAGCCAUGGGAGCCGGGAGUGCCUGAAGUACGUAACCGGAAGGAGCGUCCAAGGGUAACACUGGUGACUGGGGCUAAGUCGUAACAAGGUAACCA